AAAAACAUUAAACAAAUUUUCUCACAAAAAGAAAACGGAUUUCGAUGAAUCACUAGUGACAGGUCUCAAAUUUCAUGCGUUAUUGAAUAUAGAAAAAGGCUUGUAAAGCGAAAAAUUACUUUACUAGAUAUAUAUUCAACCUGUUCUAUUCAGGGUUAACACGCUACAAAGUACAUGGUAAAUUGUAGUGGGCAAGAGAAUUUAAUACGGAAUUUUCCCAGUACUUAUUUCGUUUUGCAUUCGCCUAAUUUUUACAACAUUGCUGCAUUUACAGUAUGGUAAAUUACAAAAAUUUUAAACAAUGUUGGCCCAUAUAGUGUUUUUUUAUAAUAUGGUAUUUUAACAGCGGUUACUCUUUCCCACUGGAAAUCGUAAUGAAAGUUUGUAUCAUAUCUCUGCGAAACGAAAUGAAUUGCUUUACACCUGAAAAUGCUGCAAAAUUCCUACGGUCGGUGGUGUGUUGCCCAAAGAGUGCGUUUAUUGAAUAUAAGCUAAAAUCAGCCUUUCUGAAGAAGCGCAUUCUCAUGGGACCGCCGAUCUGGCGGAAAACGCUCACAUGAUCGUUGAGAAGUCAGAGCCCGAAAUUUAAGACGUCGUGUCCCAUAGUCCAUGCCACAAUCGAUCGUUUACACGCCAAAUUCGGUAAUAGUAAUCCCCAUCUCGGCGAUGUUAAUUGUCCACCUCCACGUCGUUAGAUUUUUUUUUUGUGGGUUGCCGCGAAGGCAUUCGAAGCGGCCACAUAAAUAAAAACGAGUUCCAUAAAUAGAGGGAGCGUUUGCUCUUUCGAAUAAACCAAUAAAUUAGAUUUCUGCUCGUUUUUCAAAUUAAAAACAGUUUCUGUAUAGACCACCCUAUAUAAUCGUAUGAGUAUGUUUAAUAUAUACGUAUAGGUACAUUCCAUGCCUUUCCUUUUCAAAUCAACUUUUGCGAAUUUUGCAAAUGCAAAAAAAGGGGAUUGAUUAGAUUGCAACUUCCAAAACGAAAUGAGAAACUAUAAAUAAUAAUAUUGUUUUCAACCCGAGGAUGGUUAAAUGUUUGCUAUGUAAUUUGAAAUGAUAAUUCUAUCCUCACCAAGGCCUGAUUUUCUGACGUCGGAUUAGUUCGCUCAUUGUGCACAAAAAACCCUUGUGAAUAUACGGAAGCUGCACAUCUGAUAAUUUCAAUAAUGGAAGUUAUGUUGGCAAUGGCAGAUGCGCUGGCAAUAUUGUAACGUUAAAAAGCAAAUAAUGGUAACCAGGAAAGUGCAUUAGAAAUCCACCGAUCUACCCGUGGCCAGUUGGCCUAUCUUUCCAGGAGCAGACCACAGUUAGUCAAGAGGAUGCGGAUCCUGUUGCUCAUUGUAUUGCGAAUACCUCCGCUUGGAACACACUGCAACAGUCCAAUGGCCUUAAGUUUCAUGGAAUGUGAGCGGAAAAUGUCCCGCUCGCACCAAGCGAGGGUGCACAUUAAUCCGUCACGACGGUGAAAAUAUUCGUUCAAAAUAAAGAAGUGAUUCACCUCUUGCAUUAAUGACAGAACUUCCUUAGCAGCUGUGGUGGGAAUUCACGUCGAUACCUAUUGUGUUACAUUUCUCAUCAAGAAUUAAUCUUAGCAGCGAGGCCACCUCAUCCUCAUUUGCUCUAAAGCCUUCCGGGAGGCCCUUUCUGGCUCACUUUCCCAAUGCCUUUAUUGCCGAAAUUAGGCAAAAUAAAUGCAUCAAGUUCCUUCCUGACGCGCAAACAAGAUCCUUGUUUACCCACCUCACUUUGUGUCAGGAGUUUAUGCUUUUUCGUUCUGAGCCCAGAAAUUCCACCACUCCACAGACACGGCUACUUGAUCAAUACUACAUGAGCUCCAUCUUGCUAAGGUACCCUCAAGGAAACGUAGAAGCUUAAUUAAUCCGUCGUCGACUCCGAACGACAGAUAUUUUUAUGAGGAACUUUUUCAUGCAGAAAUACACUCGGAUGUUUGCGUUUUGGUGUUUCACGGAAAUUCGAACGUACGCAGUCGCGCACCAACCCAUUCGGUUAUGGCGACCGCCAAAUCAGAGAAUAUGGUACUACGAUAUAUUGCGAUUUUGGAUGAUGUGGAAAACAUACCUUUAUAACAAACACAGGCUAGAAACUACAACAGUUUUACAGAUACAUAUAUCUAUGAUUGAGCGGCAGGCUAAUCACCUACUCUGCCAGAAAGCAAAGUCGAUUAACGAAACCAACGCAAGAAUGAGUUUUGUCGAGGCUCUAUGCUCCCGAGUGGAGGGAACAAAGGAGAAAAAAAUCUAUGAUUGACAAAAUUUUAAAACUGGUUUUAAGUUAGUUGGUUUGACCUAAAACGUGCUUUAACAUUGAGCUAUAACUACGGUCCAUUCUCUCGAAACUAUCUACAUAUAAUAAUAAAAUUAAGUAAGGAUUCUUGCUUACUCAACUAGUCCAUUAGUAUUCGGUGUUGUUUGGCAAAAAUUCUAA